GAUGAACGCUGGCGGCGUGCUUAACACAUGCAAGUCGAACGGAGCACCCUUGAUUGAGACUUCGGUUGAUUGAUAGGAAUGCUUAGUGGCGGACGGGUGAGUAACGCGUGAGCAAUCUGCCCUUAAGUGGGGGACAACAGUUGGAAACGACUGCUAAUACCGCAUAAUGUGCACGAAUCGCAUGAUUUGUGCACCAAAGGAGAAAUCCGCUUUUGGAUGAGCUCGCGUCUGAUUAGCUAGUUGGUGGGGUAACGGCCUACCAAGGCAACGAUCAGUAGCCGACUUGAGAGAGUGAUCGGCCACAUUGGGACUGAGACACGGCCCAAACUCCUACGGGAGGCAGCAGUGGGGAAUAUUGCACAAUGGGGGAAACCCUGAUGCAGCGACGCCGCGUGAGCGAAGAAGUAUUUCGGUAUGUAAAGCUCUAUCAGCAGGGAAGAUAAUGACGGUACCUGACUAAGAAGCUCCGGCUAAA
rnacentral:rRNA from 1 species